UCAGAAGCCUCUGUAUUUGUCUUGAUGGUAUGAUCUGAUUGUUCUCCGCCUCACUAUGUAGUAUCUUGAUGAAAUAUGUCAAUGUGAUGAUUACAAUUAGCGUGGGACCUUUUUUUACUAUUUCUUUAUCAUAUUAAACAAAUGCGUCAGUGAAACCUGUGUAAGAAAAUGAGCAUUCCGAGAAUGAGCCCCGUUCUGUUGAUGCGUACAGUAGUUGCCUACUUGCAUUUCUAUUACAUGGACAAGUUCGACUUGCGAUCCACCAGGCUCCGUAUAAUAGGCUUUUACAUCUUAGCCAUCAACGGUGGAGCGCAAGGCCGAUGGGAGCGAUAACACUGGAGCACUUUCUGCUCUGCGUCCGGGGACUUUCCCCUGGGCGAUGGUGGAGGAACGGCGUCCUCAGCGAGUAGCCCAGAUAGCAAGCCUUCUGAAUGCCCGGAUUCAGAAGGCGGGUGACUUUUUAUAUAGCGAGGAGUAACCAUGUAGUGUUUCAGAAAUGGUUUUCACGUCGGUUGCACGAUUUUGUUCUAUAUUUUUUUAGUUUAAAACAACCACAUGCGUAUCGUCGUGUAUAGCUAUUCAAUAGCAUUUCUUAAAGCAUACAUAGGAUUAUCUUCAUAGCGGAAAAUCGAGGAGAGGCUCAUGGGAGUUCCGUUGCAUCGAAGAAACGCUGAAUCUGCUUGGUAUAGAGGGCUAUACCCCCACCUACUGUCCAGGGGUGUGAGCGUCUAUUUAUGGGUUAUCAUUCGGUAGGCCGUUCACAAAGGUGAGAAAUGUAAAAAGCUCACAGAACAACACCGUAAAAAGUGGAUUUUAAACCUAUGUCUGCAUUCGGGAGGAGCAGUCUGUUUAUUCCCGUGUCUGCAGCGACCACUUCAUCAGAGGCUAUGCAGAUGCCGGAUGCCAGAGUGAGCUAACGAUGGAUGACAUCGAGAAGAUGGAGGAUGUUCUGAGACAGAACUCAACAGAGCUGGGAGAUCUUCGGACCAAGGCACUGGACACACAGUUCAACCAGGAGUCCUUGGAAAAAAAUGAAGAAAAGACUAAGGGCUCCCCAACUUCUUAGUUUUAAUUCAGAUUUUUGAGCUGUGCGAGCAGCGAGCCCUACAUCACCUGUGGCCCUAUGUCUGUGUUGUCUAAAUUUGAACAGUUGGUUUUAGUUUUGCUGAGGCUGAGACUAAAAUCUCCCGCUGAAAGAUUUAGCUUUCAGGUUCAAGAUCUCUCUGCCCACUGCUUCUAGAGUUUGGCAUAAAAUAAUUGACAUACUUCAUGAAAGGUUAGAAUUUCAAAUUGAGUGGCCAAAGCGACAGGUACUUCAAGCUACAAUGCCAAUGGGAUUCAGACAGUCAUUUGGACGCAGAGUUGCUGUGAUAAUGGACUGUUUCAGAGGCCCUCUAAUUUACUUGCCCAAGCACAGACAUGGUCGAACUACAAGCAUCACCAUACUGUAACAUUUCUGAUUGGUGUUGCACCCCAAGGCUAUGUCCCUUACAUACCUUGUGCCUGGGGAGGGAGAGUCAUAGAAUAGAGAGUGAGUGGCCUCCUUAAAAACCUGUUACCCGGGGAUGUUGUCCUAGCAGGCCGUGGGUUUAAUAUUGGAGAUAGUGAAUUUGCGUAUUCAUGUUGAGUGAGUCAUAGGUUUAGUCAGAAGAAAAUAUCAGAUUCUGCAAAGCAGGGCUAUGCCCAGAGAACAUGGCAGCAAAAUCAGGUGAGGCACUAGCAUUGAUUGACACGAUUGGGGUUAUUUGCUGUGUCUUGUCUAAUCUUUCAGAGUCUGUCGUCCCAUUGGAGUAAGGAGGAGGGGAAGGGAAGGAGGCGAAGAGAGGAGGCAGGGGGAUAGGGAUAAUCAAUCAGUCCAGUACCUGAGCCCUAAAACAUGUUGGUCUGGGACACCUGCUUGGCUCACAGGAGGGGGGGGAGGGGAGGAGUAUACUAUACAGUAGUAGUAGUUUCAUCUGACACACUGAUCAGUCUGUAAAUAUGUUAUUCUCUUAAUAUUUUUCUCCACAAGUCGAAUUGUACUGGCAAUAUGUAUUUUAUAUAAUGAAAUGGAUUCCAAUGUAUUAUUGCACAGAUUGUAUUUAUUAUAACAAUUGUUAAAACAUGUAAUCUUGUAGAUAAACCAUGUAUUAUUCUG